CUUUAUCUUCCUCUUUCUCUUCGAUUAGGUAUGAAAUCCGUCGCUACAACUGAAUUUUCACUAAGGGAGAAGCAAACGAAGAUGGAGAUGAGGAAUUGAGUUGGUUGUGUUUCACCCUCGAUUAGGUAUGCAGAAUUUCUUAAACUGUUUGAUUUUUGCUAUCUGUAAUUCUAGGGUUUCUGCAAAUUUUGGGAAUUUUAUUUCACAUGUGUUUAUCAAUGACUUUGAAGGGUUGGUUAUUCAAUCUUACUUUCUAUUUACAUACUCUGUAUAUGUAUCGGAAAAGUUUCCAACUGAAUUCAGUUUAAUUCGCCAAUUUUUUUUAAUUGUUGCGAAAAAUUCUUUUCAUUGUUUGGGGAAAUCAAAAUUGGGUUCUUUAGGUCACUCAAAGAUUCAUUAUAAGGGAAAAAUGUUGGAGAUUCGGUAACUACUUAGGAAUUAGGGCUUUUAAUACCAACAACAAAUUUUGCUUAGUUAAUUAUGAUAGGAGUUGUUUGAAAAAUUUAUAGGAGAAAAAAGUGUGUUUACUGUUGGUAUUAGAAAUCAGAAUUCAUGUGUUAAUCGACAUUGAAGUUCACUGACAAUAAUUUAUCAAGUCUCUAAAGUUCAGGUCAUUUGUUUCAAGUGUUGAUUUUGCUGUAAUCGAGAUUGACUGAUAUCAGCUAAGGUGUGAUCUCAAUAACAACCCGGACAAUAGAGUACAUUUCCUUUUCUUGGAAGAAGUUUAUUCGUUGUUCAUUCGAAAUUAUUCUGUUUUCUCUCCCCAUGCAUGUUGGCUACUAUAAACUCAUUUUAUUUGGUUCAGGUAUGUAGUAGAGAUAUGCAGUAAGACAGGUUGUAGUUAGCUUCAUGGCAGCAUGGUUUGUCUUAAAAGCUUUUGAUUAAAAGGCGUGUGAUGCUAAAUUAAGAGGAUUCAUCCCUUUUCUAUCAGAGUUUUGUAGCACGCACAUCGUCAUGGGCUGCAGUUAGUAGUUAGUCUAGUGUAUCGACUUUGAACUUCCAAAUUGUUAAGAUGAAGCUGAUUCAAAUUGAUCUUGGCUUUUAAGGUGACGCUGCACAAGGUGGAUCAAAGGCACGAACUGUUGAUAUUGGGGCUACUGUGAGUGUUCCUUCAUUUGUUAACAGUUGCGACAGUACACAAUAGUUUUGAAACUUCUAAUUUUUCUAAGCACCACUAUUUUGUUGCUUUUAUUGUACUCCACAUUUUUUGGGUUUGUGUUUGAGAAACUUGAUCGGGAUACUUGGUGCGAAGUGUAUGUAUACAAGAACUAGGUACUUUGUAAAAAAGAUAUUUUGAAGAAAUUACUGAACACGGAGUGUGUUUUUGUUUUUGUUUA